GUCAAUCUUUUUGGAUGAUGAGCUCCUCAAGCUGAGGAACGUGGUUGAAUCCUUGACCAGGGAGAAGAAUGAUCUGAUCAAGAAGCAGACUGAGAAGGAGCAAGAGACAGAGGAGUUGAAGAAUAGUUUAAAAUCCGCCAGGGAUGAAAUGCUGGUUCUUA